CUGGCCUCAAAUCAGGUAGGGCUACCCGCUGAACUUAAGCAUAUCAAUAAGCGGAGGAAAAGAAACUAACUAGGAUUCCCUUAGUAACGGCGAGUGAACCGGGAUGAGCUCAAAUUUGAAAUCUGGCGUCUUUCAGGCGUCCGAGUUGUAAUCUAUAGAGGCGUUUUCCGCGCCGGACCGCGUCCAAGUCUCUUGGAAUAGAGUAUCAAAGAGGGUGACAAUCCCGUACUUGACGCGACAACCGGUGCUCUGUGAUACGUUCUCAACGAGUCGAGUUGUUUGGGAAUGCAGCUCUAAAUGGGUGGUAAAUUCCAUCUAAGGCUAAAUAUUGGCGAGAGACCGAUAGCGAACAAGUACCGUGAGGGAAAGAUGAAAAGCACUUUGGAAAGAGAGUUAAACAGCACGUGAAAUUGUUAAAAGGGAAACGAUUGAAGUCAGUCGUGUGAAAGGUAUUCAGCCGUCUCUGGCGGUGUAUUUGCCUUUCACGGGUCAACAUCAGUUUAGUCCGGUAGAAAAAGGCUGGAGGAAGGUGGCACCCUCGGGUGUGUUAUAGCCUCCUGUCAUAUGUGCCGGAUUAGACUGAGGAACGCAGCUUGCAGCAAUGCCGGGGUUCGCCCACGUACAAGCUUAGGAUGUUGACAUAAUGGCUUUAAACGACCCGUCUUGAAACACGGACCAAGGAGUCUAACAUAUCUGCGAGUGUUUGGGUGUCAAACCCAAGCGCGAAAUGAAAGUGAACGUAGGAGGGAUCCGCAAGGAGCACCUUCGACCGAUCCGGAAGUAUUCUGAUGGAUUUGAGUAAGAGCAUAUAUGCUGGGACCCGAAAGAUGGUGAACUAUGCCUGAAUAGGGCGAAGCCAGGGGAAACUCUGGUGGAGGCUCGUAGCGAUUCUGACGUGCAAAUCGAUCGUCAAAUUUGGGUAUAGGGGCGAAAGACUAAUCGAACCAUCUAGUAGCUGGUUCCUGCC
rnacentral:rRNA from 1 species